rnacentral:rRNA from 1 species
UACGUAGGGUGCAAGCGUUGUCCGGAUUUAUUGGGCGUAAAGAGCUCGUAGGCGGUUUUGUCGCGUCGGAUGUGAAAACCCAGGGCUCAACCCUGGGCCUGCAUUCGAUACGGGCAGACUAGAGUAUGGCAGGGGAGACUGGAAUUCCUGGUGUAGCGGUGAAAUGCGCAGAUAUCAGGAGGAACACCGGUGGCGAAGGCGGGUCUCUGGGCCAAAACUGACGCUGAGGAGCGAAAGCGUGGGGAGCGAACAGG